AUCGCUUCUCGGCCUUUUGGCUAAGAUCAAGUGUAGUAUUUAUGGGUGCAUUAAACAUUUUUUUUACUCUUU
rnacentral:snRNA from 1 species